UUACCACUAGUUACUACCAGUAAUUUUUGGUCUGCAUUCAUUGGUGUGAUGUGCACACAGAAAAAUACUCUUAAAUGUUUUAUCCUCCCACACAUCGCAUCAGAAAAUGACAUUAGAUUGUAGCCUUCUGUUUGUGAAGAAAGUAUAAAUUAAAAUUAAUAUACUUUUUAUUUAUUUCUCAGCAUCGGAGAAAAUAAAGUUGCUCAUUGAUAGGACGGAGGGUAAUUGCUGCUUUCGUUUGCACAAUGACCGGGUCUAUUAUGUUAGGUUUAAUGUGGAGGCUGUCGAGGGUCGAAAGCACCAGGUAUCACCAGGCGGCGCUGCACGACAGGUAACGACCAGGAGGUUCUUUGCAGGAUGUGUAGAUGGAGCUCUACUUGGAGGAACUCGGGGGACAGGGUGGAGGAGGCGAACGCGCAGUGCCAGACCGACCCGCCUCCCCGUUGUUCAUCCCCGCGAAGAUGGGAGUCAACGCCGUGACACGGAUCUACGACGGUAACGUACGUGAGUGCAGCGCGAGCACGUGCCAACGGUGCAGACGCAGCGAUUGUCGCCGGGAGGUGUGGGGGGCGGUCCAGUUUUAGUUUUUAAUCGAGGGGGGUAAGGCGAGCGUUGCCCUCAGGUUUAGUUGAAACUUUCUAGGGCACCGCAGCAGGUCAGAGCUUCACCGCAGCAAAGAUCUCCUUCGGACGAGGGCAUCGUUGUCAUCGAGGCAAAUUAGUUCUAAUUGAGAUUUUUUUACAUAAGACGGGCCGGUGCGCAUAUACGACACUGAAUGCAUGGGAAGUGCAUGGGGUUAAAUCGGGUGAUGCAGUAUGAGAAAUUUUUACACGCCACGUACAAGAAACUCCAUAACUUCACCACGUUUCCAUCAACGGUCUACGAUAACAAAGUUGACGUUCAGCCUAUAAUGUAGAGACCGAUCUCCACCUGAUCCCAGCUGGCACCCGCUGCGAUGGGAAUUUGAUUGUUGGUGUGAGAUGUAUUCUGAUAUCUUUUGAUGACGUGAUAUCGUGACCAUGGCGGUGAGGUACCGGUUCGUGAUCAUGCUCUACGUUAGCCUCCUUAGACCAUUUGUAUGAAGGAUUUUCCAAGUCUCCCUCAUCGUACUCGUCACUGUGACCUUGAGCAAUAACGCUGUGUACGGUAGACAGAAUAGCGAUCGUGGUAAUAAAGAGAAAUAACGUCGAUUUCUUUUUAAACAACAACUCAAACUUUCCAAUGGUCCCCGCCAUUUUUCCAGACGUGGCUAAUGAACAAUUAAGCAGGUGGUGCCAUCUGCUGAUUGUAUUUGGUGAUUAUUAAUAUUAUAGAUGACGGUGUAAAUAAUCGUAAAUAAUUGUAAAAAAUCAUAAAAAACAUGUUGAUAAGUUUGUGUUCAUUUGAGAGCACGUAUAUUGAUAUACGUGCUCUGGUUUACGUUAUACAUCUUAUAGUAGAGCUGUAGAUGUUCGCUGCGUGAGCUAACCUAAAAUAAAGUAAGCAAACACUAUAUUACAAGUC